rnacentral:rRNA from 1 species
CAGUAGCCGCGGUAAAACGAAGGGUGCAAGCGUUAAUCGGAAUUACUGGGCGUAAAGCGCGCGUAGGUGGUUUGGUAAGAUGGAUGUGAAAUCCCCGGGCUCAACCUGGGAACUGCAUCCAUAACUGCCUGACUAGAGUACGGUAGAGGGUGGUGGAAUUUCCUGUGUAGCGGUGAAAUGCGUAGAUAUAGGAAGGAACACCAGUGGCGAAGGCGACCACCUGGACUGAUACUGACACUGAGGUGCGAAAGCGUGGGGAGCAAACAGGAUUAGAGACCCGAGUAGUCCCUGUCUCUUAUAC